rnacentral:rRNA from 1 species
GACGAACGCUGGCGGCGUGCUUAACACAUGCAAGUCGAGCGGAAAGGCCACUUCGGUGGUACUCGAGCGGCGAACGGGUGAGUAACACGUGAGUAAUCUGCCCCUGGCUUUGGGAUAGCCACCGGAAACGGUGAUUAAUACCGGAUACGACCACUUCUCGCAUGGGAUGGUGGUGGAAAGUUUUUUCGGCCACGGAUGUGCUCGCGGCCUAUCAGCUUGAUGGUGAGGUAAUGGCUCACCAUGGCUUCGACGGGUAGCCGGCCUGAGAGGGGGACCGGUCACACUGGGACUGAGACACGGCCCAGACUCCUACGGGAGGCAGCAGUGGGGAAUAUUGGACAAUGGGCGGAAGCCUGAUCCAGCAACGCCGCGUGAGGGAUGACGGCCUUCGGGUUGUAAACCUCUUUCAGCAGGGACGAAGCGCAAGUGACGGUACCUGCAGAAGAAGCACCGGCCAGCUACGUGCCAGCCGCCGCAGUAA